GUUGGGUAGGGGAGCGUUCUGUAAGCCUGUGAAGGUGGCCUGUGAGGGUUGCUGGAGGUAUCAGAAGUGCGAAUGCUGACAUAAGUAACGAUAAAGCGGGUGAAAAGCCCGCUCGCCGGAAGACCAAGGGUUCCUGUCCAACGUUAAUCGGGGCAGGGUGAGUCGACCCCUAAGGCGAGGCCGAAAGGCGUAGUCGAUGGGAAACGGGUUAAUAUUCCCGUACUUGGUGUUACUGCGAAGGGGGGACGGAGAAGGCUAUGUUGGCCGGGCGACGGUUGUCCCGGUUUAAGCGUGUAGGUGUGUGUUCCAGGUAAAUCCGGUUCACUUUAACACUGAGGCGUGAUGACGAGGCACUACGGUGCUGAAGCAACAAAUGCCCUGCUUCCAGGAAAAGCCUCUAAGCAUCAGGUAACAUCAAAUCGUACCCCAAACCGACACAGGUGGUCAGGUAGAGAAUACCAAGGCGCUUGAGAGAACUCGGGUGAAGGAACUAGGCAAAAUGGUGCCGUAACUUCGGGAGAAGGCACGCUGACACGUAGGUGAAGUGAUUUACUCAUGGAGCUGAAGUCAGUCGAAGAUACCAGCUGGCUGCAACUGUUUAUUAAAAACACAGCACUGUGCAAACACGAAAGUGGACGUAUACGGUGUGACGCCUGCCCGGUGCCGGAAGGUUAAUUGAUGGGGUCAGCGCAAGCGAAGCUCCUGAUCGAAGCCCCGGUAAACGGCGGCCGUAACUAUAACGGUCCUAAGGUAGCGAAAUUCCUUGUCGGGUAAGUUCCGACCUGCACGAAUGGCGUAAUGAUGGCCAGGCUGUCUCCACCCGAGACUCAGUGAAAUUGAACUCGCUGUGAAGAUGCAGUGUACCCGCGGCAAGACGGAAAGACCCCGUGAACCUUUACUAUAGCUUGACACUGAACAUUGAGCCUUGAUGUGUAGGAUAGGUGGGAGGCUUUGAAGUGUGGACGCCAGUCUGCAUGGAGCCGACCUUGAAAUACCACCCUUUAAUGUUUGAUGUUCUAACGUGGACCCGUGAUCCGGGUUGCGGACAGUGUCUGGUGGGUAGUUUGACUGGGGCGGUCUCCUCCUAAAGAGUAACGGAGGAGCACGAAGGUUGGCUAAUCCUGGUCGGACAUCAGGAGGUUAGUGCAAUGGCAUAAGCCAGCUUGACUGCGAGCGUGACGGCGCGAGCAGGUGCGAAAGCAGGUCAUAGUGAUCCGGUGGUUCUGAAUGGAAGGGCCAUCGCUCAACGGAUAAAAGGUACUCCGGGGAUAACAGGCUGAUACCGCCCAAGAGUUCAUAUCGACGGCGGUGUUUGGCACCUCGAUGUCGGCUCAUCACAUCCUGGGGCUGAAGUAGGUCCCAAGGGUAUGGCUGUUCGCCAUUUAAAGUGGUACGCGAGCUGGGUUUAGAACGUCGUGAGACAGUUCGGUCCCUAUCUGCCGUGGGCGCUGGAGAACUGAGGGGGGCUGCUCCUAGUACGAGAGGACCGGAGUGGACGCAUCACUGGUGUUCGGGUUGUCAUGCCAAUGGCACUGCCCGGUAGCUAAAUGCGGAAGAGAUAAGUGCUGAAAGCAUCUAAGCACGAAACUUGCCCCGAGAUGAGUUCUCCCUGAGACUUUAAGUCUCCUGAAGGAACGUUGAAGACGACGACGUUGAUAGGCCGGGUGUGUAAGCGCAGCGAUGCGUUGAGCUAACCGGUACUAAUGAACCGUGAGGCUUAACCUUACAACGCCGAAG
rnacentral:rRNA from 1 species